AUUCACUUCAGCAGCACAUAUACUAAAAUUGAAAUGCUACACAGAGGAUUAGGAUGGCCUCUGAGCAAGGAUGACACCCAAAUUCAUGAAGCAUUCCAUAUUAAA